rnacentral:miRNA from 1 species
AGGCCUAGAUUACAUUGGAC